ACGCUGGCGGCAUGCCUCAUACAUGCAAGUCGAACGAGGUCUUCGGACCUAGUGGCGCACGGGUGAGUAACAUGUGGGAAUCUACCUGAAGGUUCGGAAUAACUGCGGGAAACUGUAGCUAAUACCGGAUGUGUCUGCAAAGAGAAAGAUUUAUCGCCUUCAGAUGAGCCCGCACUAGAUUAGCUAGUUGGUGAGGUAAUUGCUCCACCAAGGCUGCGAUCUAUAGCUGAUUUGAGAGGAUGAUCAGCCACACUGGGACUGAGACACGGCCCAGACUCCUACGGGAGGCAGCAGUAGGGAAUAUUGGACAAUGGGGGAAACCCUGAUCCAGCAAUGCCGCGUGAGUGAAGAAGGCCUUCGGGUUGUAAAACUCUUUCAUCAAUGAUGAUAAUGACAUUAGUUGAAGAAGAAGCUCCGGCUAACUUCGUGCCAGCAGCCGCGGUAAUACGAAGGGGGCUAGCGUUGUUCGGAAUCACUGGGCGUAAAGCGUAUGUAGGCGGAUCAAAAAGUUAGAUGUGAAAUCCCUGGGCUCAACCCAGGAACUGCAUUUAAAACUAGUGAUCUAGAAUUUGGUAGGGGUUAGUAGAAUUUCCAGUGUAGAGGUGAAAUUCGUAGAUAUUGGAAAGAAUACCAGUGGCGAAGGCGACUAACUGGGCCAUUUUUGACGCUGAGAUACGAAAGCGUGGGUAGCAAACAGGAUUAGAUACCCUGGUAGUCCACGCAGUAAACGAUGAGUGCUAGUCGCUGGGACAAUAGUUUCAGUGUCGAAGCUAACGCAUUAAGCACUCCGCCUGGGAAGUACGGU
rnacentral:rRNA from 1 species